ensembl:lncRNA
AAACAUUUUACGACUUCGGGUGUGUUCACUUGUAAAUUCAGAGCGUUCCGCUCUCGGAGUGCACACUGGACGUUUGGGCCAAGGUGUCACGACUUCCACCAAAGGCCCCUCACUGGUGCAGUCACGGAGUUAUUGGAGACUGUGUUUACAGAUGGGAUGGGAAUGCUGGAAACAUGACCGCAUCCUGAAUCUGUCUCUGUCUCCCCUGGUCCCACUGGACUCAACACUGUGGGACCAGCUGGAAUCCCGUCUCCCCGGUGACCCAACAGUGUGACGAACCACGAGCCAUCACCAUGACGAUGAUUCCAGCAGGAAGUGGGAUGCGCCUUAGGGCUGAUUUCCUGCUUCUUCUCUGUGGUCCACCAUCAUUCCAUCACAAAGAUGGAGAAGCCUACACUUUGUAGCUCAGUUGGUAUAGCAUGGCAGUGGUAACGCCAGAAUCGUGGGUUUGAUUCCCAGGACUACCCAUACAUUAUGUAUAAUGUAUGCACGUGUGACUGUAAAUCGCUUUGGAUAAUAGCGUCUGCUAAAUAGCAUAUUACAGUUUUUCUCAAUUGCUGAAACACUAAAACCCAUUGGCUGAACAAAGUUCUCAGUUGCCUGGACUCAUUUACCUAAUUAUGCAGUCUGUUGUCAAUACCUUAAACCAUUUCACAUGGUAAAACACAAUUUGCAGAUCUCACUUAGACUUUUCAGGAAAACUCGAAACACAUUCUCAUUCUCAAAACACAUUCUGCACUCUAAUGCACAUGUCAUCCAUACUGGUAAACACAAGUGGCAACAAUCAAAUACAAAUAGAGAACACAUGUCAUUGAUUGAACACAACCACUCAAAUUGAUUUAACCUGUUUCAAAUGGCGCGACACAACCAAUAUAAGCCAGUUCAGAGAGCAAACAGGUUGUUGAAGGUGGGGAGGAGAAAGUCUGAGAAUGGAUAGAAGAAACAACGUGAGAGGACGAGGAGGACUGCGUAUGCGAGGUGGGUGACGAGGAGGCAGAGGAGGACGAAGAGGAAGACAGAGUGGAAAUAUCUGAUGAAAUUCGAGCAACAGUUAAAGACCAUGUUCUUGUCCAUGGACUGACAAUGAGGGAAGCAGGACUUAGAGUGCAACCCAAUUUGAGCCGAUUUUCUGUGUCCACCAUAGUAAGGACAUUCAGAGAAGAGAACAGAAUUGCAAGGCUGCCACAUGCAGGUAGAAGGACAGCUAUAUUCACUCGGAAGCAAGAGGCCGUUAUAGUUGGCAUGGUCCUUCAAGAUAAUGCAAUACGACUCAGAGAAAUCCAGGAACGAGUGAUACAAGACAACACACACUUCCAGGGAAUCGACAGUGUGAGCAUUUCCACAAUUGACCGUGUCCUCCAUUGUAACAGGAUGCGAAUGAAACAAGUACACAGAGUACCUUUUGAGCGCAACUCACCAAGGGUGAAAGAACUGCGAGCUCAGUAUGUGCAAACAAUAUUUGACUUGGAAUCCUUGGACAGACCCCAUGAGUUCAUCUUUGUCGAUGAAGCAGGCUUCAAUCUAACAAAGAGGAGAAGGAGAGGCCGAAACAUGAUUAGACAGCGGGCCAUUGUUGAAGUCCCUGGUCAACGAGGUGGUAAUGUCACAAUCUGUGCUGCUAUCAGCAACCAUGGUGUUCUACAUCACCAUGUUACACUCGGGCCAUAUAACACCCAGCACCUUCUAAGAUUUAUUGCCAAUCAGAGAUAUUUUAUUUGAGCAGCAGGGUCAAGAGCUAAACGAGAAUCCCAUUCCCACCUAUGUGAUAGUGUGGGACAAUGUCAGUUUCCACCGAGCUGCUCAGGUAAGGGAAUGGUUUAACAUCAAUGGGCAGUUUAUGAACUUGUACCUCCCUCCAUACUCGCUUUUCCUGAAUCCGAUUGAGGAAUUUUUCUCCUCUUGGAGAUGGAAAGUGUAUGAUAGACAACCAUACACCAGAGUAAAUCUGCUGCAAGCCAUGGAUUUAGCCUGUGGUGAUAUAGGUGAGGAAUCAUGUCAGGGCUGGAUACGGCACACAAGAAGCUUCUUCCCCCGUUGCCUCAGGAGGGACAAUAUUGCUUGUGAUGUCGACGAAGUGCUCUGGCCUGACCCAGCCCAAAGACAAGAAGAAGCACAUUGAUCACGUUUACUCCUUUGAUUUUUGUCCCUUUUAGUAUUGUAUACUGUAGUACAGUGCAUUGUAGGCUGUAUACUGUACAAUGGACAAAUUGUAUGGCCCUGAACAUUGUGCUUUCCAUUUAUUAACAGUACUGACUGCUCAAUAGAUUUUGACUGGUUGCAGGUUCAUAUCAACAAAGAACAAGAAUUACAGUAUCACAGAGACAAAGGACAAGUGUGUGAGAUGCAGGGUACAGUACUGUAAAAAUAGGGGAACAAGGAGGAGGAAGAACAAAAAACUAAAUUGCGAAGAGCAAAGCAGAGUAGUAUUUUCUGAUCAAUUUUGAGCUACUAUGAUAGAACAUGUUUUCGUUCAUCAAAAGACAAUGAUUGAAAAAUAUGAAUAUUUUUUUAGAUUAAAAAUGUACUUCUCCCUGAGAAUUGUAUGUUUUGAACAAUGUGUUUUCUAUUUUUCGGUGUAUUGUUUACUGACUGCUUGAGAGUGUAUAUCAUUUUGAUCACAUUGUUUAUGAUUUGAGAGCAGUGUUUGAUUUUGAACACAGGUAAAACUGUUUUGAGGCGACUGUUUCAUUUUGCGAGAGGAGUCAGAGGUUAUGUAAAUAGUGCUUGAAGAUGAGGUUUUGUGUUUAAUGUUUUCAGGAAAUGGAGCAAGGUUUCAGAAAUUGAGUUUUAGCAAUUGAGAAAAACUAUUACAAUAUUAUUAGAUGUCAGAUAUCUCUGUGGCAGAACCCUUUGAAGAACCCUUUUGGGUUCCAAGUUUAACCCUCUGUGGAAAUGGUUCUACAUGGAACCCAAAAUGGUUCUUCAAGGGGUUCUCUCAUGGGGAUAGCCCAGUUGAACAGUGAGGCCUAAGGAUUUAUCUUUUCAAUAAUAUUUCAAUGAUAUUCUAAUAAUAUUAUUCUUUUCAAUGAUAUUCAGAUUUAAUCUCUUUAGUUUGUGUUGGAAAGGAAAGGGUUAACACCGAAGAGAGAAAAAAAAAGAUCCAAUCAGGAUUUUUCUUUGAUGGUCUCCGGGGAGAUAAAAGAAGUGACUUGAAGGAGUCGGAGGUUCACUCCAAAAACUCAGCAGAUGUGAUAUUGUGGCCUACUGCAGCCGCUAGCUAGCUAGACCGUGAGAAAACUGCUACUCGCUAUUGCGCACUGACCUGUCGGCCUUCUAGAAGGCAGACGAUUCCAUACGUUUUUGUAAAAACGGUCCCACCCAUAAGUCAAACUGUGAUUGGUUGAUUCCACUGUCACUCAGAAAUCCUGUCCUAAUAAAGUUGAAUGUAGGAUGCCUUCUAUCGACAGUGUCUUCAGAAAGUAUUGAUACACCUUGACUUGUUCCACAAUUUGUUGUGUUACAGCCUGAUUUUUCUCUCUCACCCAUCUACACACAAUACCCCAUAGUGACAAAAUGAAAACAUAUUUUUUGCAAAUGUACUAAUAAUUGCUCAAAUAUUGCUAGACAGACAGUUUCAAGCCUUGCCAUAGGUUUUCAAGCGUCACCAUGCUCAAAGGGAUAUUCAAUGUCUGCUUUUUUUUUCCCCCAUUUACCAAUAGGUGCCCUUCUUUGCGAGGCAUUGGAAAACCUCCCUGGUCUUUGUGGUUGAAUCUGUGUUUGAAAUUCACUGCUCAACUGAGGGAUCUUACAGAUAAUUGUAUGUGUGGGGUACAGAGAUGAGGUAGUCAUUCAAAAAUCAUGUUAAACACUAUUAUUGCACACAGAGUGAGUCCAUGCAGCUUAUUAUGUGACUUGUUAAUCAAAUCUUUUCUCCGGAAAUUAUUUAGACUUGCCAUAACAAAGGGGUUGAAAACUUAUUGACUCAAGACAUUUCAGCUUUUCAUUUUUUAUUAAUUAGCAAAAUUGUCUAAAAACAUAAUUCCACUUUGACAUUGUGGGGCAUUGUGUGUAGGCCAGUGACACAAAAUCUCAACGUAAUAAAUGCUUUAAUUCAGGCUGUAACAUAACAAAAUGUGGAAAAGGUCAAUACUAUUUGAAGGCACUUUAGCUUCUGAGGCCCUAGCCAAUGGCUGUUUUUGUAUUCUUAUGAUUGGGACCUACUUGCUUUGGGUAGAUUUGUUUUGUUUUGUUUGGUAUUACGUGUUGGAAGAUUUUUUUCCCACACUGAAGGCCUACGUCCAAUAGCCAUGGUUCGCCACUGCAUAAAACCCUUUUAGGUUUUAGGUAUAACCUUUUUUCUAAGAGUGUACAGUCUAUCUUGAUGUUAUGUUGCUUCCAAGGUCUCUGCUAAUGCUCUUCUACAUUUGUACAAAAUGAUAUUACAUUUUGCCCAUACAGCGCAUUUAGCUAAUUUAACUAUGCUGCAGUAGUUUGUGUCGGGGGGCUAGGGUCAGUUUGUUAUAACUGGAGUACUUCUCCUGUCUUAUCCGGUGAAUUUAAGUAUGCUCUCUCUAAUUCUCUCUUUCUCUCUGAGGACCUGAGCCCUAGGACCAUGCCUCAGGACUACCUGGCAUGAUGACUCCUUGCUGUUCACAGUCCACCUGGCCGUGCUGCUGCUCCAGUUUCAACUGUUCUGCCUGCAGCUAUGGAAUCCUGACCUGUUCACCGGAUGUGCUACCUGUCCCAGACCAGCUGUUUUCAACUCUCUAGAGACAGCAGGAGUGGUAGAGAUACUCUUAAUGAUCGGCUAUGAAAAGCCAACUGACAUUUACUCCUGAGGUGCUGACUUGCUGCACCCUCAACAACUACUGUGAUUAUUAUUAUUUGACCAUGCUGGUCAUUUAUGAACAUUUGAACAUCUUGGCCGUGUUCUGUUAUAAUCUCCACCCGGCACAGCCAGAAGAGGACUGGCCACCCCUCAUAGCCUGGUUCCGCUCUAGGCUUCUUCCUAGGUUUUGGCCUUUCUAGGGAGUUUUUCCUAGCCACCGUGCUUCUACACCUGCAUUGCUUGCUGUUUGGGGUUUUAGGCUGGGUUUCUGUACAGCACUUUGAGGUAUCAGCUGAUGUACGAAGGGCUAUAUAAAUAAAUUUGAUUUGAAUAGGAACCACCAAACUAGAUCACAAUGAAGCAGGCAGAAAUAAUUAAGCAAUUUAUAUUACUGGCUAAAGGUUUAAUUCUAACGUCAUAUUAAAUAGAAAAAUACAUAUUCUGCUAUAUGUAUAGUACCAGUAAAAAGUUUUGGGUCAUUGUCCUGUUGAAAAACAAAUUAUAGUCCCACUAAGCGCAAACCAGAUAGGAUGGCGUAUUGUUGCAGAAUGCUGUGGUAGCCAUGCUGGUUGUGCUUUGACUUCUAAAUAAAUCACAGACAGUGUCACCAGCAAAGCCCCUUACACCAUCACACCUCCUCCUCCAUGCUUCACAGUGGGAACCAAACAUACUCUGCGUCUCACAAAGACACAGAGGUUGGAACCAAAAAAUCUCAAAUUUGGACUCAUCAGAUCAAAGGAUAGAUUUCCUCUGGUCUAAUGUCCAUUGCUCGUGUUUCUUGGCCCAAGCAAGUAUCUUUUUCUUAUUGGUGUCCCUUAAUAGUGGUUUCUUUGCAGCAAUUCGACCAUGAAGGCCUGAUUCACAGUCUCCUCUGAACAGUUGAUGUUGAGAUGUGUUUGUUACUUGAACUCUGUGAAGCAUUUAUUUGGGCUGCAAUUUCUGAGACUUGUAACUCUAAUGAACUUAUCCUCUGCAGCAGAGGUAACUUUGGGUCUUCCUUUCCUGUGGCGGUCCUCAUGAGAGCCAGUUUCAUCAUAGCGCUUGAUGGUUUUUGUGACUGCACUUGGAAGAAACGUUCAAAGUUCUUGAAAUGUUCUGCAUUGACUGUCCUUCCUGUCCUUUCUCUUUGCUUAUUUGACCUGGUCUUGCCAUAAUAUGGAGUUGUUUUUUAUGCAAAUAGAGCUAUCUUCUGUAUACCACCCCUACCUUGUCACAACACAACUAAUAGGCUCAAAGAUUUUGAAGGAAAUACAUUCCACAAAUUAACUUUUAACAAGGCCCAUCUGUUAAUUGAAAUACAUUCCAGGUGACUACUUCAUGAAGCUGGUUGAGAUAAUGUCAAGAGUGUGCAAAGCUGUCAUCAAGGCAAAGGGUGGAGAAUCUCAAAUAUAACAGAUAUUUUGAUUUAUUUAACACUUUUUUGGUUACUACAUGAUUCCAUAUGUGUUACUACAUCGUUUUGAUGUCUUCUGUUAUUCUACAAUGUAGAAAAUAGAACAAAUAAAGAAAAACCCUGGAAUGAGUAGGUGUAUCCAAACUUUUGACUGGUACUGUGAAUAUUUUAUACUUAAAAUUAUUCCACAUUUCAGUUAUGUAAAGAGAAGGUAUUCUAGUUGGAUAUCAGAUUUCAUGGAAUGGAUAUGAACAUGAAACCUUUGAUAAAAAGAAUGGACAUCUGUUGAAAACAACAGUUUCCAUAAAUACAGGACUGUUAUCUUUUGCCAGAAUCCUCUCAACAGCACGUGUCAGGAACCAAAACUCUGGAGUAUAUUGAUGUGCGAGACUCAAGCCACAUUUUUGUUUUACAGAGGAUACCACAAAAUACUGUGGUAAAGAAUAUGAUGAUUGUGUGAAUGAAAACGCCAGCACAAUGAGAUAGUAAUUACAUAAGAGGUUAUUUGUAGCUCUGCCUGAAAAUUCACAGUAUCACACGUCACUGCUUUCAAUGUAUUCACUGUGUAUCAUUGUGAUAGAAUAAACAGUAUCCUACUGUACCAUACAAA